UUAGGUGGUGAGAGCAUAAAAAUUCCGACUUUACUUUUUUACAUGCAUUUUUGGACCACCCUACUGUACAGGCUUCCUAUUAUCUCUAUGUUCUGGGUCUGAUAGCGAAACCUGGUGAGCAACAGACUAAACGUAACGCUCGUUCUAUUAAGCCACUAUAACGCUGAGCCAAAAGUACAAUGGGUUUUUCAACCAAGUUAUUGUUUGAUUUUUACACGGUCAAUACACCGAUUGAAAGAAAUGUGAUUGAAAUUGAACAUUUCAACACAUUUGUAUGUCUGGCUGUAGCUAAACGUGCAGAGAUACUUGCUAUCUCCCAGCAGGUGCGGCUUCGAUUGCCGACAGAGCAUCUACAAAGCAUCUGUGAAGUGAAGAACAUGAUCAAUCGACGAGGAAAUUUCUUCAAUAUUUACGGACGAAAUAUCGAUGUUUUUGAAAACUUAUACAUACCUACACUAGAGGGAAAAUACAAAUGGUUGUUGUUCACUUCGCACAUAUUUGCAACUUAUCAUCUUCUACCUUAUUUGCAUAUGUACGUAUGUUUGUAUACAGGUGACUUUAAACAGUUGCCAUAAAACGGUGUUCGCAUGAGGCGAUUUUCUAGGCAAUUUUAGAGGCGAUUAGUUGAAUCAAAAGUUCGCUGCACCCCAACUUCAUUGGAAGCGAUUAGUGGCGUUUGUUGCUUUCAACUAAAAGUUGCCUCAUGUAAACACAGUGUAACCUCACAUAAUCUAAUUAAAUUCUUUUGAUGAAUGUAAAGGAUAUACAUACAUAUAUACAUAUUUAGAUAUGUAGCUAGGGGCCGUUGUAUUACACAAAUAUUUUUUUUUUGGUAUUCUAAUAUUUACACCAUUCGUACGAACAAUUUAUGAAAGCUUUAUGUAUGCGCACGAAUUCAUAGCACGGUCCGUUCCUGGGCCAUCUAUUAAUCCCACAGAAUGUAUGAACUUAUGUACAUAAGUAAGUACGUCUACAUAAUUACCUAAGUAUGUAAGUACGUUUGUAGGUUACAAGACUUAAGCAAUUGUCGCAGUGACAUUAAAUGAUAAUUGUAUGUAGCAUUAAAUGUUGGCUUUACAUGUAUUGUACAUUCCAUUCAUGCACACAAACAAACAGAGGUAUGUAUGUAUGUGUUAUAGAAAAUUAUAUCUGAUUAUAAGAACAUAUUCGAACAAUAACGAAAAACAAUUUAGAAACAAAAAAUGCUAAUUAAAAAAAAACAGCAAAAACAGUGGUUUUAUCGUGAAAAUUUGAGCUUCGAAAAAUGUUUGUCGGUUUUUGUUUUUUUUUUAAUGUAAAAUGUGUCUUAGAAAAUGCAAAGUUAAAAUUGCCACUAUUGAAAGGAACUGUGUAUGUAGAACUUAGGAAAAAUAUUAAACAAAAAAGACUCGUACAUAAAUAGGUAUACACACAUACAUACGUAUGUAUGUAUGUAUGUAUGUAAGUAUAUUGUACAGCAAAUGCUUUGGCGAAAUGCGAGACGUUCAUUUCACGACAAAUACAUACAUACGCCAAAUAUCGAACAUACAGAAAUGUCGAUGCCAAAAUUUGGCCAGUUUCAAGAAGCAAUUAUUGGAGACUUUGAUUUACUAAAAAAAAAAAAAAUACCGCUUAACUAUUAUCGUGUUUAUCGUACAGAUAAGGCUAAUAUUUUUUUUAUAGAGCUACGUUUAUGUUUCGUGCUUUCCAAAUUUUGGCUUCGAUGUUUAUAUAUGUAGGUAUGUAUUUACUAAGUAUAACAUGGAUGUAUGUACACAAUGUACGUUUGUACAUAAGACACUUGCUAAAUGCGCAAAUGUAAUUUCGAAAACUCAAAUGACCUCCGACAAUCAUCAUAGAAUAUCUCAUUAAAUUUUUAUAAUUUUUAUUGUAAAUACCCUAAGGAAUAUUUGUUCGACCCGAGUAUAGUUCCUGCUGUGUUCACUUUUUGUAAUCAAGAGCAAGGAAAGACCAAAACUACCCUACAUUAUCUUCGUUUUACAAGCGCGAUUAAUUUUAACUCUAAUAUUUAUCCUCACUUGGCUAUUUUCUCUUUUCGUAUGUGUGUGCAUUAGGGUGUGACGCUAAAUUUAUUUUUUUUAUCUAUUCUUUGGUUUGGCUUAAUAUUUCCGACAGCGUGGGAAGAUGAAUUAUUUUUAAACGAAUUACCGUCAUCCCUUGCUCUCUUCAGUGCCAAUUUUUGAUGACAGCAAUUCACACCAAAAUAAAUAUCUUUUAUCUCUUCAUCUCACUUUCGCUUCAUGAAGUCAUUAGAACCGUGAAGAACCGUACCAACGACUCGAAUUUAAGCAGUUUACUCUGAUAGCCUUCUUCGGCAUACGUACAAGAAUCCUUCAAAAUCGGAGGAGCCUAUAAACUCAUGGCUGAUUUCAGCUAAAGUGAGAAGCUACACACUGAAGGAAUAGGUCCCUAGAAUUAAAAAAGUUGAAUGGCCAAAGCCUACGAGCGAAGUAUCUAGGAGUCAUAGAUAUUAAAAACGAGUAGCGAAGCCUAUUACUUCUGUAUAUGGUUUAUUGAGAAGACACGAGGGGGUCUUAAUGAAAAAGUUGCAAUACGGAUGUAUGCAGUGGUGGGCAGCCUUACGGAACCAGUACAAGCAUGUAAAACUAGGACUGUAAAACUACAGGGGCAAUGAGCAGUUGCUCUACGCACGCCCACAGAGCACCUUCGAUUUCACUGGUAUAAUAAUGGCAGUACCGGCUGCUUGGAUGUUAAAGUUUUUCCGCUAUAAUUCUAACCUAAUGGACAUAUGUUUGUAUCAUACUCAUCAAUGAAGUCUUCGGUAACAUUUACACUCACACACGCAAUUGUGUAAGACAACGUAGUUAGAUGUAUAGAAUUUAUGUAUUGUUCAAUUAGAGUAAUGUAGUAAAUAUUAACAAAAAAAAAAAAAAAAACGCUGAUACAAUGCAGUCCAUGAAAUCGUUAAAAACGAACGACAUAAUAUUUAAGCAUAAGAAGAAGCAACAACAAAAAAUUAUACUAAAUAUAAAUGUGUCCGAAAACUACAUAACAAAUAAAUAAAAUAUGCUACAUAGAUGACACAAAAAUUAGUGACACGAAGACUUAAUAUUUUCGAAAUUUAACAUAUGUAUGUAUGUUCGUCAUUGAUUGAAAAAAUAGGUUUCUAGUAUUUUAAGCGAAAUGUCGGUAAAGCAAACUUCAUUAAUAAUUUAAAAUAAAUGCUUAUACAUAUGUUCAUAUGUUUACUUAUACAUACAUACAUACUAUGUACAUAUGUAACACUUAUAUGUACUUAUAUGUAUGUUUAUGUGGUCAAUCCAUGCCGAAUUGAGCAAUGGUUGAAACCGAUAAUUUUUUAUUUGGAUGAAUUUUAGUCAGA